rnacentral:rRNA from 1 species
CAAGUCGAACGAGAAAGCCCUUCGGGGUGAGUAGAGUGGCGCACGGGUGAGUAAUGCAUGGGAACAUACCUUCAGGUGGGGGAUAACAGUUGGAAACGACUGCUAAUACCGCAUGGUCUCUUCGGAGUAAACGAGGCCUCUACUUGUAAGCUACGGCCUGAAGAUUGGCCCAUGUCGCAUUAGCUUGUUGGUGGGGUAAUGGCCCACCAAGGCGACGAUGCGUAGCUGGUCUGAGAGGAUGAUCAGCCACACUGGAACUGAGACACGGUCCAGACUCCUACGGGAGGCAGCAGUGGGGAAUAUUGCACAAUGGGCGCAAGCCUGAUGCAGCAACGCCGCGUGGGUGAAGAAGGCUCUUGGGUCGUAAAGCCCUUUCGGCAGAGAAGAAGGGCGUUUAGUCAAAUAGGCUAGACGUUUGACGGUAUCUGCAUAAGAAGCACCGGCUAAUUUCGUGCCAGCAGCCGCGGUAAUACGAAAGGUGCAAGCGUUGUUCGGAAUAACUGGGCGUAAAGCGCUCGUAGGCGGGAAUUCAGGUCGAUUGUGAAAGCCCAGGGCUCAACCUUGGAAUUGCAGUCGAAACCGUUUUUCUUGAAUACCUGAGAGGGUGGGGGAAUUCCUAGUGGAGAAGUGAAAUUCGUAGAGAUUAGGAGGAACACCAGAGGCGAAGGCGCCUGCCUGGCAGUGUAUUGACGCUGAGGAGCGAAAGUGUGGGGAGCAAACAGGAUUAGAUACCCUGGUAGUCCACACCGUAAACGAUGGAUACUAGCCGCUUGGGGAGUUAACCCCCUGAGUGGCGCAGCACACGCAUUAAGUAUCCCGCCUGGGGAGUACGGUCGCAAGGCUAAAACUCAAAGGAAUUGACGGGGGCCCGCACAAGCGGU